UACCAGCAGCCCGAGUGGUCGGGGCGAUUAUUGGGCCUAAAGCGUCCGUAGCCGGUUCUGCAAGUCUUCCGUUAAAUCCACCUGCUUAACAGAUGGGCUGCGGAGGAUACUACAAGGCUAGGAGGCGGAAGAGGCAAGCGGUACUCAGUGGGUAGGGGUAAAAUCCUCUGAUCCAUUGAAGACCACCAGUGGCGAAGGCGGCUUGCCAAUACGCGCUCGACGGUGAGGGAUGAAAGCUGGGGGAGCAAACCGG
rnacentral:rRNA from 1 species